GCUUUCUUAGCUCAGUAGGUAGAGCACCUGAUUUGUAAUCAGGCGGUCAUUGGUUCAAGUCCAAUAGGGAGCU
rnacentral:tRNA from 4 species